rnacentral:rRNA from 1 species
CAAUAGCGUAUAUUAAAGUUGUUGCGGUUAAAAAGCUCGUAGUUGGAUCUCGGCAGGCAGGGGGUGGUUCGCUCUUAGCGCUACUGCCCCAUUUGCCUGUGUGAUUGGCGGAGGUUUCGGGGUGCUCUUCGUUGAGUGACCCGGGGCGCCGUCAGGUUUACUUUGAAAAAAUUGGAGUGCUCAAAGCAGGCUUUUCACGCUUGAAUAUUCGUGCAUGGAAUAAUGGAAUAGGAACUCGUUUCUAUUUUGUUGGUUUUCGGAAAUCGAGUUAAUGAUUAAUAGGGACAAUUGGGGGCAUUAGUAUUCAGACGACAGAGGUGAAAUUCUUGGACCGUCUGAAGACUAACUACUGCGAAAGCAUUUGCCAAGAGUGUUUUCAUUAA